rnacentral:rRNA from 1 species
UACGUAGGUGGCGAGCGUUGUCCGGAAUUACUGGGUGUAAAGGUCGUGUAGGCGGGGAAGCAAGUCAGAUGUGAAAUCCCGGGGCUCAACUCCGGAGUUGCAUCUGAAACUGUUUUUCUUGAGUGCUGGAGAGGAAAGCGGAAUUCCUAGUGUAGCGGUGAAAUGCGUAGAUAUCAGGAGGAACACCAGUUGCGAAGGCGGCUCUCUGGACUGUAACUGACACUGAGGCACGAAAGCGUGGGGAGCAAACAGGAUUAGAUACCCCCGUAGU